rfam:Brassica oleracea var. oleracea cultivar TO1000 chromosome C2, whole genome shotgun sequence
GUCCUGACGGGGACAUUCGAAGAAAUUAGAAUGACACAAAGAAAAUUAGCAUGGCCUCUGUGCACACAUGCAUGUCCAGAAAUAAUUCAAUUUUAU